rnacentral:lncRNA from 1 species
GCUUUAAUCCACUUCGACAUUGAAUUCGCAGUAGUUUGCAUAAAAAUUGUAAGGAAAAUUAUAGAGUGGUUUGAGUAAUUGCGACAGAUUCUCGCAGUCCGAUAGGAAAAAUAAAGCUUGCCACAGAUCACUGAUCAACAGGACAAAGAGAUGAUAAACUCUGUUCUUAAUAAGUGACAUUCACUUCGAGGACUUUUGAUGAACUGUCGCCCAUUUAGG